rnacentral:rRNA from 1 species
CAGUCGCCGCGGGAAUACAGAGGGUGCGAGCGUUAAUCGGAUUUACUGGGCGUAAAGCGUGCGUAGGCGGCUAAUUGAGUCGGAUGUGAAAUCCCCGAGCUUAACUUGGGAACUGCAUCCAAAACUGGUGAGCUAGAGUACGGUAGAGGGUAGUGGAAUUUCCUGUGUAGCGGUGAAAUGCGUAGAUAUAGGAAGGAACACCAGUGGCGAAGGCGACUACCUGGACUGAUACUGACACUGAGGUGCGAAAGCGUGGGGAGCAAACAGGAUUAGAUACCCGCGUAGUCCCUGUCUCUUAUAC